rnacentral:rRNA from 1 species
GUAGGGAGCGAGCGUUGUCCGGAAUUACUGGGUGUAAAGGGAGCGUAGGCGGGACGGCAAGUCAGAUGUGAAAACUAUGGGCUCAACCCAUAGACUGCAUUUGAAACUGUUGUUCUUGAGUGAGGUAGAGGUAAGCGGAAUUCCUGGUGCAGCGGUGAAAUGCGUAGAGAUCAGGAGGAACAUCGGUGGCGAAGGCGGCUUACUGGGCCUUUACUGACGCUGAGGCUCGAAAGCGUGGGGAGCAAACAGGAUUAGAUACCCUGGUAGUCCACGCCGUAAACGAUGAUUACUAGGUGUGGGGGGACUGACCCCUUCCGUGCCGCAGUUAACACAAUAAGUAAUCCACCUGGGGAGU